UAAAAGGUAUGUAUAUAAUAUAGGGUUCCCCCAGGCAAUCAUUAUCUACUCAAUUAUACUCAAGUAAAAGGUAUGUACAUGAUAAACUACAAUUUAUAAAAAACUUAAAUAAUUUUUUCUAUAGACUCAAGUGUGUAUUCUUAGACUCAAAUUUUUGCCAAAGCAUUAAAAAAAGAUUACGACACCCCCGAUUCCCAGGACGUCUCCGUUCCAAGUACUAAUGGUUAACAGAGACAAACGGGGGCAUUUGUAUGGCCCCGUGAGAGGUGAAAUUCUUGGACCGUGGCCGGACAAACUACAGCGAAAGCAUUUGCCAAGAAUGUCUUCAUUAAUCAAGAACGAAAGUCAGAGGUUCGAAGGCGAUCAGAUACCGCCCUAGUUCUGACCGUAAACGAUGCCAACUAGCGAUCCGCUGAUGGAAAUUAUAUUGCCUUGGUGGGGAGCUUCCCGGAAACGAAAGUCUUCCGGUUCCGGGGGAAGUAUGGUUGCAAAGCUGAAACUUAAAGGAAUUGACGGAAGGGCACCACCAGGAGUGGAGCCUGCGGCUUAAUUUGACUCAACACGGGGAAACUCACCCGGCCCGGACACUGUGAGGAUUGACAGAUUGAUAGCUUUUUCAUGAUUCAGUGGAUGGUGGUGCAUGGCCGUUCUUAGUUCGUGGAGUGAUUUGUCUGGUUUAUUCCGAUAACGAGCGAGACUCUAACCUACUAAAUAGUUGGUACAUACUCUUUGUGUAUACAGCUUCUUAGAGGGAUUUGCGGCGUUCAGCCGAAAGAAAUUGAGCAAUAACAGGUCUGUGAUGCCCUUAGAUGUCCGGGGCUGCACGCGCGCUACACUGGCAAAAUCAACGUGCUUGUCCUACCCUGAAAGGGGCGGGUAAACCAUUGAAAAUUUGCCGUGAUUGGUAUCGGAAAUUGCAAUUAUAAACAAGUACUGUGAAGGAAAGUUGCAAAGCACUUUGAAGAGAGAGUUAAAGAGGACGUGAAACCGGAGAGGUGGAAACGGAUAGAUUCGGCGUAUCUUUCAAGUAUUCAUUUACAUUAUUUUUAUGUUGUGAUCUCUGAGCUCCAGAUUGGGACAGAAAGAAGCAUCAUAAUUUUCUGUGAUGCAUUUGCUUGUUUGGUGCUUGGGGAUGUUUGAGGCAGAUUUGUAACCGCCGUUUUGAGGCCAGCUUGCUGGUACCCAAACAGCGUUAGCAUCUUUUGUCUUGGACAUUUGAGUAUGGUUUACGGGCAUUUAUUGGUUCGAUCUGAUUGUAAGUUACGGUCGCAUGCGACACGUGCUUUUCAUUUAGAUCGGUCCAGUUAAUGCUCUCGUACUCGCUCCCCAUGUAAAAGCCGGUCAUCUAUCCGACCCGUCUUGAAACACGGACCAAGGAGUUUAUCGUGUGCGCAAGUUUUUGGGUGUUAAAAACCUAAAAGCGAAAUGAAAGUAAAUGGCUCUUUAGAGUCUGACGUGCGAUCUUGUAAAAAAGGGCAGCAUGGCCCCAUUCUAACUGUUUACAGUAGGGUGGAGGAAGAGCGUACGCGGUGAGACCCGAAAGAUGGUGAACUAUUCCUGAGCAGGACGAAGCCAGAGGAAACUCUGGUGGAAGUCCGAAGCGGUUCUGACGUGCAAAUCGAUCGUCUGACUUGGGUAUAGGGGCGAAAGACUAAUCGAACCAUCUAGUAGCUGGUUCCCUCUGAAGUUUCCCCCAGGAUAGCUGGAGCUCAUUAGUAGUUAUACUCGGUAAAGCGAAUGAUUAGAGGACUUGGGAACGAAAUGUUCUUAACCUAUUCUCAAACUCUAAAUGGGUAUGAUGUCAAAGUUGCUUGAUUUUGAACUUUGGCGUUGAAUACGAGUUCCAAGUGGGCCAUUUUUGGUAAGCAGAACUGGCGAUGUGGGAUGAACCAAACGCGGAGUUGAGGUGCCAAAGUGCCCGCUCAUUAGACACCAUAAAAGGUGUUGGUUGAUACAGACAGCAGGACGGUGGCCAUGGAAGUCGGAAUCCGCUAAGGAGUGUGUAACAACUCACCUGCCGAAUCAACUAGCCCUGAAAAUGGAUGGCGCUGGAGCGGGCCACCUAUACUCUGCCGUCAUAUGCUUGUAUUUUCCGUGAAAAGUCUUGCAAUGACGUGUAAGAGGGUCGUAGUGGUUGCAAUGAAGGCUUUGGGUGUGCACCCAGCUGGAGCUUCCACUAGUGCAGAUCUUGGUGGUAGUAGCAAAUAUUCAAGUGAGAUCCUUGAAGACUGAAGUGGAGAAGGGUUCCACGUGAACAGUAGUUGAAUGUGGGUCAGUCGAUCCUAAGGCACCGGCUAAAGCCGUCUAGACACUGCGGGGAGAUGAGAUACUUAACGGUAUAUUGUCUACUCGGUUGCCGAAAGGGAAGUGGGUUAAUAUUCCCACACCAGGCAUGGGAGAUGGUGAUCCGCAAGGAUUACUUUGCGCGGUGACGCAAACGAACUCGUAGACCUCGUGUGGAGUCCGGGCCAGAGUUCUCUUUUCUGGUUUAGAGAUCAUG